GCUCGUGUGGUGUAGUGGUAGCAUACUUGCUUUGGGAUACCAAGAUUGCAAGUGGUCCCAGGUUCAAGCCCUGGCUCGAGCC